AGAAGUUUUCCAUCCCAAAGGAUGCAUGAAGCUCAUUUUGCUUCCCUUUGCCUGCAGAGAAGAUAUUAUGCAGUGCUUUGGUUUUCUCAGGUCCACUGGCGGCUCCCUGAGACAGCUCUGGCAGCCAAGGAUAUGAAUCACUGAGAUGGUAUUUAAGAUCCUUCAGGUAACCUGAACAAGAAAAAAAAUUAAAAGGCAGCUAAUCAAAUGGCUUUGAGGGCUGUAAAAAUGCAGAAUUCAAUCCCUGAGAACUUUCCAAGAUGUAAUUUCAGAAGACAUCAAAGAUUACAUGAACCUACGAAAGUAAAACUACUCAAAAUUCAAAGUUUAUAGUCCAUCUGUCUCUUUGCUUCAGGGAGCUGGUAUUAAAUUUAUUGCUAAAUAAAACAAAUAAGCCUAGGAAAAGUCAGCACCGAAAUCUGCAUACUUGUAAGAGAAUUAGCAGAGCUCUCUUGUUAUGAUGGCUGCUUCUCAAUUUGCAUCUUUAAGGAGUUGUGACCAUCUCUGUGCUUCUCCCUCCAGAGCUCCUGGAGCCGGGCUGGGGCUGCACAGUGAGAGGUGCAGGGGAAGGUGCAGCUGCAUCGGGGCUGCACCCAAAGGAGGACGGGGAAGAGCAGCAGAGCCCAGCCAGGGUGAGGGAACAGCUCAGCCCAUCUCUAUCUCAACCAGCUGCUAUUGCCUCUGGAAAACAGACUCCAAAGCUUGCCCAAGUGCUGGAGAGAAUCCCAUCACAGUUUUUCUUAGAGAAAUCCGACACGAGCAAUAAUACAAUCUUGGAAAGAGAAUUGAAUUAUUUAUGGAGGAGCAGUGAAAUGAUGGAGACUAAACCUCUAUAUUUUAUGUAAUUUGUUUUCUCCUGAAGCCCGUUAUGUAAAAAUGUAAAUAUUGCUGGUUAUGUGUGUCGCUGCUCUUGCCAAAUGUUUAAUAUUUUAUCAAACCUGCUCCCAGCACUCGUCUCUUUUGGAAAGGACCCGUCCAUGUCCUCUGGAAUAAGUUCCAGUGAGUUUGUGGCAAUUAUAGAUUUACAACACUGCAAAAAAAUCUCCCUGAGGUGCCCAUGCUCCAGUCUGGGGCAUGGAAAUGGCACAACCCUCAGAAUUUGGGGGAAUUUUUAGGAGAGGGUUUAAUUUCAGGGAGGAUUUCCAGCAAUCUGGAUUGAGAUUGGGAUGGGAAAAGGCGUCUGAAGGUUUUCCUGGUUUUGGGGUCUGGACAUCCCUUCCAGGGCAGGAAGAAAUGAGCUGGUACCUAAACUCUCCUCAGUAGGGAUGCAGCCCUGGAGAUCUGGAGGCUCAGGGAUUGUGAGAUGAGAUCUGACCAAAAAAACCACUCAGCAAUGACCUGUUGCAGCAGAAAAAUGCCUUUUUUUCUUUUUUUUUUUUCCUCCUGGGGAAAAGGACUACGAGUUCGAGUGUGAGAGAAUUUUAAUUUAUCACCAAAAAAAUUCCAACAAGCUCCCACGGCUGGGUGAUGAAGUGGCCAAUCCAAAUGGGAAAUGUAUUUUUUUAACCAGGCAUAAUAAUUGAUGAUAAUUAACCUCUGGAAAAAAACUCUCCAGGGAAGGAGCAGCUUUUUGCCUUUGUGAAGGAAAAAUCUGGGCCUGGAUACUUUCCCUGGAGUUUUAAAGUGAGAUUCCAAAACCAGUGGAGGAAUUGCUUUGGCAAUUGGGGAAGAUAAAUGAGGGGUGCCCAAGGAGUGAAUGUGGGAUAUUCAAGGAUCAAAUAUGGGAUGUUCAAGGAUCAAAUGUGAGAUAUUCAUGGAUCAGAU
rnacentral:lncRNA from 1 species